UAUUGCGCAAUGGUCGAAAGACUGACGCAGCGACGCCGCGUGUGGGAGGAAGCCCUUCGGGGUGUAAACCACUGUCGGGAGGGACGAACCGCGAACGGGCAAACAGCCCGGGCGCCUGACGGUACCUCCAAAGGAAGCACCGGCUAACCCUGUGCCAGCAGCCGCGGUAAUACAGGGGGUGCAAGCGUUGUUCGGAAUUACUGGGCGUAAAGCGCGGGCAGGUGGUCUUUUAAGUCCUUUGUGAAAUCCCGGAGCUCAACUCCGGAUGUGCAUAGGAUACUGAAAGACUUGAGACAGGUAGAGGCGAGCGGAAUUCCUGGUGUAGCGGUGGAAUGCGUAGAUAUCAGGAAGAACACCGGUGGCGAAGGCGGCUCGCUGGGCCUGUUCUGACACUCAUCCGCGAAAGCGUGGGGAGCAAACA
rnacentral:rRNA from 1 species